rnacentral:rRNA from 1 species
UUUCUAUUUAAUUAAUAAUAAAUUAAAUAAUUUAAAAUUUAAUUUUAUAAUAAAAUAUAAAUUAUAUAAUAAAUUAUAAUUAAUUAAUUAAAUUUAAAAACUUAAGAAAAAACUAGGAUUAGAUACCCUAUUAUAAAUUAUAACCAAAUUAAUAUAAAAAUUAAAUAUUUAUUAUUAAACUUAAAUAAUUUGACAGUAUAUUAUAUUUAGAGGAAUUUAUUUUAUAAUAGAUAAUAAACUAUAAAAAUUACUUUAAUUUUUAUUUAUAUAUUGUUGUUUAUAAAUUUAAUUUUAAAAUUAAUAAUUAUAAUAUUAAAAAAUAAUAAUUCAAAUCAUAAUAUAAUUAAUAUUUAAGAAAAAAAGAAUUACUUUUUUUAAAUAAUAAAAUAAUAAUUUAAUUUAUUAAAAAAAAGAAUUUAAUAAUAAAAUAAAUUAAAUUAAUUUAUUUGAAAAUAAAAAUAAAAUAUGUACAUAUUGCCCGUCAUUCCCAUAAUAUGGGACAAGUCGUAACAAAGUAAGGUUACUGGAAAGUAACCUUAG